rnacentral:rRNA from 1 species
UACGUAGGGUGCAAGCGUUGUCCGGAAUCAUUGGGCGUAAAGAGCGCGUAGGCGGCCCUGUAAGUCCGCUGUGAAAGUCAAGGGCUCAACCCUUGGAUGCCGGUGGAUACUGCAGGGCUAGAGUCCGGAAGAGGCGAGUGGAAUUCCUGGUGUAGCGGUGAAAUGCGCAGAUAUCAGGAAGAACACCCGUGGCGAAGGCGGCUCUCUGGGACGGUACUGACGCUGAGACGCGAAAGCGUGGGGAGCGAACAGG